GAGGAAUAUUGGGCAAUGCCCGCAAGGGUGACCCAGCAACGCCGCGUGGAGGAUGAAUGUCGUAAGAUUGUAAACUCCUGUUAGAGGGGAAGAAUAGUACCGGUUGGACCGGUAUAUGACUGUACCCUCAGAGAAAGCCCCGGCUAACUACGUGCCAGCAGCCGCGGUAAUACGUAGGGGGCAAGCGUUGUCCGGAUUUACUGGGUGUAAAGGGCGCGCAGGCGGGAUAAAAAGUCAGUGGUGAAAUCCUACAGCUUAACUGUAGAACUGCCUUUGAUACUUGUAUUCUUGAGUUCGGGAGAGAGAGACGGAAUUCCAGGUGUAGUGGUGAAAUACGUAAAUAUCUGGAAGAACACCAGUUGCGAAGGCGGUCUCUUGGUCCGACACUGACGCUGAGGCGCGAAAGCGUG
rnacentral:rRNA from 1 species